rnacentral:rRNA from 1 species
CGGCGAGUGAAGCGGGAAAAGCUCAAAUUUGAAAUCUGGUAGCCUCAGGCUGCCCGAGUUGUAAUCUAUAGAAACGUUUUCCGCGUUGGCCCAUGUACAAGUCUCCUGGAAUGGAGCGUCAUAGAGGGUGAGAAUCCCGUCCUUGACAUGGACUACCAAUGCUUUGUGAUACGUUUUCAAAGAGUCGAGUUGUUUGGGAAUGCAGCUCAAAAUGGGUGGUAAAUUCCAUCUAAAGCUAAAUAUUGGCGAGAGACCGAUAGCGAACAAGUACCGUGAGGGAAAGAUGAAAAGCACUUUGGAAAGAGAGUUAAACAGUAUGUGAAAUUGUUGAAAGGGAAACGAUUGAAGUCAGUCAUGUCUAUUGGACUCAGCCGGUUCUGCCGGUGUACUUCCUUUAGAUGGGGUCAACAUCAGUUUUGAUCGCUGGAAAAGGGCAGGAGGAAUGUAGCACUCUCGGGUGAACUUAUAGCCUUCUGUCGUAUACAGUGGUUGGGACUGAGGAACGCAGCAUGCCUUUAUGGCCGGGGUUCGCC